GGGAAUACAGCACUAUUGGAGUAGUGUACUGACUUGUCACGUCAGACGUUGUGAGUUCAAAUCUCACUAUUCUCG
rnacentral:tRNA from 1 species